CAAUAGCGUAUACUAACAUUGUUGCAGUUAAAAAGCUCGUAGUUGGAUUUCUGGCUGUUUGUGGGAGUCGCCCAUCUACUUGGCCAUGUGCCUUGUAGUUUGCGUGCAGACUUUCGCCAGCCAUCCUUCAGAUGCCCUUUGGGUUUUCUGAUCGAUUACUUUGAAGAAAUUAGAGUGUUCAAAGCAGGCUUGUGCUGUUGAAUACAUUAGCAUGGAAUAAUAAGAUAGGACUUGUGUUCUAUUUUGUUGGUUUCUAGAACCGCAAGUAAUGAUUGAUAGGGACAGUUGGGGGUGCUCGUAUUCCAUGGCCAGCGGUGAAAUGCGAUGAUUCAUGGAAGACGAACUAAUGCGAAAGCAUUCACCAAGGAUGUCUUCUUUGA
rnacentral:rRNA from 1 species